rnacentral:rRNA from 1 species
UACGUAGGGGGCAAGCGUUGUCCGGAAUUAUUGGGCGUAAAGAGCUCGUAGGCGGUUUGUCGCGUCUGCCGUGAAAGUCCGGGGCUCAACUCCGGAUCUGCGGUGGGUACGGGCAGACUAGAGUGAUGUAGGGGAGACUGGAAUUCCUGGUGUAGCGGUGAAAUGCGCAGAUAUCAGGAGGAACACCAAUGGCGAAGGCAGCUCGCUGGAACGGUACUGACGCUGAGGCGCGAAAGCGUGGGGAGCGAACAGG